UACGAAGGGGACUAGCGUUGUUCGGAAUCACUGGGCGUAAAGCGCACGUAGGCGGAUUCGUAAGUCAGGGGUGAAAUCCCGGGGCUCAACCUCGGAACUGCCUUUGAUACUGCGGGUCUUGAGUCCGAUAGAGGUGGGUGGAAUUCCUAGUGUAGAGGUGAAAUUCGUAGAUAUUAGGAAGAACACCGGUGGCGAAGGCGGCCUUCUGGACAGUGACGUGACGCUGAGACGCGAAAGCGUGGGGAGCAAACAGG
rnacentral:rRNA from 1 species